rnacentral:rRNA from 1 species
AGAGUUUGAUCAUGGCUCAGAUUGAACGCUGGCGGCAAGCUUAACACAUGCAAGUCGAGCGGUAACAUGAGGUUUACCUUGAUGACGAGCGGCGAACGGGUGAGUAAUGUCUGGGAAACUGCCUAAAGGUGGGGGAUAACUAUUGGAAACGAUAGCUAAAACCACAUAAUGUCGAAAGACCAAAAUAGGGGACUUUUAUAGCCUUAUGCCUUUAGAUGUGCCCAGAUGGGAUUAGCCAGUAGGUGAGGUAAUGGCUCACCUAAGCAACAAUCCCUAGCUGGUCUUAGAGGAUGACCAGCCACACUGGAACUGAGACACGGUCCAGACUCCUACGGGAGGCAGCAGUGGGGAAUAUUGCACAAUGGGCGCAAGCCUGAUGCAGCUAUGCCGCGUGUGUGAAGAAGGCCUUAGGGUUGUAAAGCACUUUCAGUGAGGUAAGAAAAAAUAUUAUACUAAUAAUGUAAUAUCUUGACGUUACUCACAAAAGAAGCACCGGCUAACUCCGUGCCAGCAGCCGCGGUAAUACGGAGGGUGCUAGCGUUAAUCGGAAUUACUGGGCGUAAAGCGCACGUAGGCGGUUUAUUAAGUUAGAUGUGAAAGCCCUGCGCUUAACGUAGGAACUGCAUUUAAAACUAAUAAACUAGAGUAUUGUAGAGGGGAGUAGAAUUCCAGGUGUAGCGGUGAAAUGCGUAGAUAUCUGGAGGAAUACCAGUGGCGAAGGCGGCUCCCUGGACAAAUACUGACGCUCAGGUGCGAAAGCGUGGGGAGCAAACAGGAUUAGAUACCCUGGUAGUCCACGCUGUAAACUAUGUCGAUUUGGAGGUUGUAUCCUUGAGAUGUGGCUUCCGAAGCUAACGCGUUAAAUCGACCGCCUGGGGAGUACGGCCGCAAGGUUAAAACUCAAAUGAAUUGACGGGGGCCCGCACAAGCGGUGGAGCAUGUGGUUUAAUUCGAUGCAACGCGAAAAACCUUACCUACUCUUGACAUCCAGAGAACUUUUUAGAAAUAGAAAGGUGCCUUCGGGAACUUUGAGACAGGUGCUGCAUGGCUGUCGUCAGCUCGUGUUGUGAAAUGUUGGGUUAAGUCCCGCAACGAGCGCAACCCUUAUCCUUUGUUGCCAGCGAUACGGUCGGGAACUCAAAGGAGACUGCCGGUGAUAAACCGGAGGAAGGUGGGGAUGACGUCAAGUCAUCAUGGCCCUUACGAGUAGGGCUACACACGUGCUACAAUGGCGUAUACAAAGAGAAGCAACCUUGCAAAAGUAAGCGAAUCUCAUAAAGUAUGUCGUAGUUCGGAUUGGAGUCUGCAACUCGACUCCAUGAAGUCGGAAUCGCUAGUAAUCGUAGAUCAGAAUGCUACGGUGAAUACGUUCCCGGGCCUUGUACACACCGCCCGUCACACCAUGGGAGUGGGUUGCAAAAGAAGUGGGUAGCUUAACCUUUUUGGAGAGCGCUUACCACUUUGUGAUUCAUAACUGGGGUGAAGUCGUAACAAGGUA